UAAUCACAGGUCAGCAUACUGUGGUGAAUACGUUCCCGGGCCUUGUACACACCGCCCGUCACACCAUGAGAGUUGAGAAUACCCGAAGCCCAUGUCAAAGUGGUCGAAGGUAGGCUUGAUGAUUGGGGUGAAGUCGUAACAAGGUAUC
rnacentral:rRNA from 1 species